CUGGGUUGAAGUUGAAGGGAAACCCGGUUAGUGUUUCUAUAGUAAGGCGUUUGAAGAAGAAUCCGGUCCUCACGUCCGAUUUCGGUCUCCGUGCGAAAAAUCGUUGAAAUGGCGAAUACGGCGCCGGAGAGUGACACGGCUAGAUCGGCAUCUGAAGAAAGCUCGGGGGAGUUCAAAACGCUGGUGAAUUCUCAGGAUUUGGAUUCUAUAAGGCAAACGCAAAACCUCGUAUUGGGGAGGUUGCAGGACAGUAAUGCAGUAUUGUCUCACUUUAACGAGUAUUCGGAGAAUUGCUUCGCGGAAGUCUCUGCGGAAUUUGCCAAAAACGCACGCCUCUUACGAUCCAUGAAAUCCGACCUCGAUUUCGUCUUUCAAAAGCUGAGGAACUUGAAGGCCAAGAUUGUUGAAACCUACCCGGAUGCUUUCCCUGAUAAUUCAACUAUGGAAGCCCUCGAUCAAAGACCCGACCUUGAAUUACCAAGAUAUUUGGGCUUACACAGGUGGGCUUGGGUGAAUAUUUAGAAACCCUAAACUAUAAGCACAACUAGAAGCAGAAAAUACCGCCGCCAGGAGUCCUCUUCAGAAACCCUAUAUGUACACCCUGCCAUCCCUAAUCCUUCAUUCAAAGUUAUUUCUUCUCCACGGGAACCUGUGGACCGAUAAUCUCCGUUCGUCCAUGGAGCCACUUUCUGCGAUUACAAUCUCCUAUCAGAUUUACGUUGCUUCCUUUAGAUCUUAACUGUUUUUCUUUUUUAAACUGUUUCUGUUCAGAAACUUUGGGGCCAAUGAGGAAUGUUAUAUAAAUAUCCUGGAAUUACCGUCUGAAUCAUGUUAUGAAUUGAGAUCGACUAUCUGAGGCCUUAUUGAAACACUGCUUCGUGUGUCGGUGUGUGUAUAUAUCUUUACUUGAAGCUUUAUUUGCUUAAGCUUUCCCAUGUCCGUGGGAAUUGUUGAUCACCAUACAAUUAUUGUACGUUUGGCUCGUGACUCUGAUUGUGAUAUGUUACUAAAUUAGGAACUUUAUUUUUGUAA